rnacentral:lncRNA from 1 species
AUACCCCAUGGUUCUCCUACCACCAGAUGCUACUGAGGCUAAACUGACUGGACUGAGGAAAAAUAUCUGUGGGGAAAACUGUCUUUCAGAAUCCAACUUUGAACCAGAGAAAUCCAUUCUCUUGAGGCUGUCUGCUGUGGAGAAGUUGGCCUUACCAAUCUGCCUUUGGAGUUCAAGUUAUGCAGGCAGGAUCUGCGAGGCUACCUGUGAAUGAAUGGUUGGUUGGUCACUACUUGCAAGUUUUGCAGGAGCUCCUGAAAGAUUACUGCAUAAAUAAGGGAGGAUGGAGACCAGAUCUCUGGCUACUGUUGCUGCCACCACCACAGCCACCACCUUCACCCUUAUGAACCCCCU